rnacentral:rRNA from 1 species
CCUACGGGGGGCUGCAGUGGGGAAUAUUGCGCAAUGGGCGAAAGCCUGACGCAGCGACGCCGCGUGGGUGAUGAAGGCCUUCGGGUUGUAAAGCCCUGUCGGGUGGAACGAACGAUCUGGCGGCGAAUAACCGCCGGGUGUGACGGUACCACCGAAGGAAGCCCCGGCUAACUACGUGCCAGCAGCCGCGGUAAGACGUAGGGGGCGAGCGUGGUUCGGAUUUACUGGGCGGAAAGGGCGCGUAGGCGGCGAAAACCCUCGGCUUAACCGGGGUGCCGCAUCCGAUACUGUCUGGCUCGAGUCUAGGAGAGGAAAGCGGAAUUCCCAGUGUAGCGGUGAAAUGCGUAGAUAUUGGGAGGAACACCGGUGGCGAAGGCGGCUUUCCGGACUAGUACUGACGCUGAGGAGCGAAAGCUAGGGGAGCGAACGGGGUUAGAUGCCCUGGUAGUC